CCCACACUUUCUGUCGGGAGUACUGUAGAUUUCCUCUUCCUCGGGUCAAGAUUUACCGUCAAUAGACAUACAUUCCCUAGGUGACGGAAGAGAAUACCGUACUCUGCAAGACACGAUGCCGUCAGCAAGUACACGUGGCGUGUGCUGGGGAGGGUCCGGGGAGCAGAUCUAAUCUGCGCUGUGGAUUAUACCCUGGGGCCUUGGGUGUGGAGGCCUAUUAUUUGAUGUUUAAAUUAUAGUUAAGACUACGAGGCGAUCGUUUCUGUUUCGGCUUAAAGGCGAAAGGCAGCCCAGCGGCAGAACCCCCAACGGUCCUCCAACAGGAUGUAGCCCCAAGUUGGGGCUGAUUUCUUGUUGGUAGCAAAUGAGCCGAAUAAGCUGGCCUUUGGAAAGAUAUGAGUGUCUGGCUCAGAUAAAUGAAGUUCUAUGUCAAAAUAGUCUACAUAGAACAAGUUACACAAUGAAGGCUUGCAAAGUAGGAAAGGCUUCAGCAGCAAUCCAUGGAGGCCAAGUAUGCCCCAAAUUAAAUACAAGAAAAAGAGCUUGUCUUCAACAAGAAAUCAAUUCUGAAAUGUCAGAAUUAAGGACCUCUUCUUCAGCAAAACGCAGGUUUGUUUGCAUUUCAUCGAGCCAUGCAAUGGCCAGCCAUGAAUAUGUUGGAGGAAAACGAGCCAAGGAUGCCGACUAUAAAAGAGAGUCAGCUGAUGAUGCCUGUCAAGAUCUAAGACUAGCAUUUUCUAUGACAAACGAGUCUUGCAAUGAUCAAAAGUUAUGCAUGAAUACAACACAUCCAUCUGUGGUCGAGAGCCUAUUUUCACCUGUUUGUCAUAUGCCAAAUGGUGAAGCCUCAGCUAAUUGUACCAUUGGUGUUGAUGACUCUGAGGAUGAUGAUAAGAGAAUUGAUAUAGUAGACAAUACACAAGACAAUAAUAGUACUGCAUCUGAAGAGAAUUAUAAGACUUCCUCGGCUUUUUAUCCAUCUCUAGAUGUAUUUAGAGACACAUCCAUGUUCAGGGUGUAUGCUGAUGCAACUGCAACAGUGCAAGAUUCUUUGACGAAUACAGCAAGUUUGCCUGAAGAUGAAUUUAUUCAAUCACAAUCAUUUGAUGCCGCUGAGAGUUGCAUUGUAUGGCCUCUUGUGGAUGAAAAUGCAACAUCUGACGACACAUAUGACACUGUAUCUAUUGAAGAAGAUUUACUAAACUCAGAUGGGGCAUGCUUGUUCCUUGCAAUGCAACAGACAAAGUCCUUAGAAUAUGGAGGUAAGGAUGACAAUGACUCAGGCACCUCUGAUGAACUCGAUGAUUUUGACCCAUAUUUAUUCAUCAAAAGUUUGCCUGAUCUCUCGGAAGUGGUUUCUCCAUAUCGACCCAUGUUGUUACCCAAACAAGCAAGGCGAAGGCCACCUAUAACUCUUGUAUUAGACUUAGAUGAGACGCUUGUCCAUUCUACGUUAGAUCAUUGCAAUGAUGCAGACUUCACUUUUCCAGUACAUUUCAACAUGAAGGAGCACACCAUAUAUGUACGACGCAGACCUUUCCUCCAAAUGUUUAUGGAGAGAGUUGCUCAAAUGUUUGAGGUAAUAGUGUUCACAGCAAGUCAAAGCAUUUAUGCAGAGCAACUUUUAAAUAAGCUGGAUCCAAAGCAAAAGCUUAUUCACCAGCGUGUUUACCGCGAGUCAUGUGUGUUGGUAGAUGGUAAUUACACUAAGGAUCUGACAAUUUUGGGACGUGAUCUUUCAAAAAUUGCCAUAAUUGACAACUCACCACUGGCUUUUGGACUUCAAGUAGACAAUGGUAUUCCUAUAGAAAGCUGGUUUGAUGACCGUUCCGACAGUGCUUUAGUUUCAUUGCUUCCAUUCUUGGAGACAUUGGUAGGUGUAGAUGAUGUUCGUCCCAUCAUUGCAACGAAAUUUAAUCUUCGCCAAAAAGCUAAAGGCAUCUGCAUGGAACCUUCGUCAUUGGAACACAACAGAGAAAUGUGUUAGGAGCAUCUCUAAGGAGAGUGGAAUUGGUUUUCAUUCUCCUUCUAAUUUUAUUUUAGUUUAGAUUUCAUUGAUUUAAUAUUUGAUUCAAUUUUCCUUAUGAGUUGCAAUUGAUCUGUUCCAAAAUUUUGUUUGGACUUAGAUGACAUGCAUAGAUACCAUCUGUAUAGGGUGGGAUAAAGCAUUGCGGGUCUUCAAGCAGAUCCUAUACUGAAGAACAAUGGCCUGCAUAUAGAAAAAGGUCAUAUGGCUCAUUCUUGGUAUAGAGGACAAAUUUUCUUGUGUAAUACUUACUUUCAACGUGUUCAGAUUCACACUUACUGGUGUUUUAAUGAAAUUGUGAUUAGCAUCUUAAUUUCCUUAAUGACUUACAUGUUGUAUGGCCGGUGAUGGUUGCCCUGGGAUUCUGUUAUGAAGCAGCUCAUUUUCUACAGAUUGUAAUGUAGUGUGUCAUAUGCAAUGCACUGAAGCAUGUUUAUCCAACCAUACUGUUUUGAUA